rnacentral:rRNA from 1 species
GAUGAACGCUGGCGGCGUGCCUAAUACAUGCAAGUCGAGCGAACAGACGAGGAGCUUGCUCCUCUGACGUUAGCGGCGGACGGGUGAGUAACACGUGGAUAACCUACCUAUAAGACUGGGAUAACUUCGGGAAACCGGAGCUAAUACCGGAUAAUAUAUUGAACCGCAUGGUUCAAUAGUGAAAGACGGUUUUGCUGUCACUUAUAGAUGGAUCCGCGCCGCAUUAGCUAGUUGGUAAGGUAACGGCUUACCAAGGCAACGAUGCGUAGCCGACCUGAGAGGGUGAUCGGCCACCCUGGAUCUGAGACACGGUCCACACUCCUACGGUAGGCAGCAGUAGGGAAUCUUCCGCAAUGGGCGAAAGCCUGACGGUGCAACGCCGCGUGAGUGAUGAAGGUCUUCGGAUCGUAAAACUCUGUUAUUAGGGAAGAACAAAUGUGUAAGUAACUAUGCACGUCUUGACGGUACCUAAUCAGAAAGCCCCGGCUAACUACGUG